rnacentral:lncRNA from 1 species
ACACUUUAUGAAUUAUACAUGGCAAUACCAAUAUAUACUUCUCAUGUCUAUAUAUCAUUUCAUGCUUGAACAUUUUUUCAAUGUCAAUAGCAUCACGAAUUAACAUUUAUUUCGAGCAUUAAAUCAUAUAAUUUACACAUACAAAUUAACAAGUUCAUAUAUGACCAGAAAGCAUGCAUUAUCAAGUAAAAUGACUUCAUUUAGGCAUAAAAUUCAACAAUGCAAAUCCUUACCAAAAUAUCGAUGUUUCCUAUAACUUUUCUUCUUCUUCUCCUCUCCCUCUUUCUCUAGACCACUCCCUCUCUCUCUAAGCUCUUGGAGGAUUAAAGAAUGGAAUGGAAGUGAUGAGGAAAGGGUGAAGGGAGGGU